GCCAGCAAGGAAAUGAGGCGGGGAAGGGCAGUGGAGCCCGCAACUUACCGAGCCUCUGGGCCAUAACGUGGGGUUUUACUUCACGUCAAGCGUGAUGGGAAAAUAGUGAUGCGUUUUGAGUAGGAAGGGCAGAUGUGUAUCGUAGAGGCUGGAGGAAAAGUAUGGGCUGGGCCGGUGUGGGAGUGGAGAGAAGAGUGAAAACAGCGAGUGCAGAGGAGCCACUGGACUAGAACAGGCGUGGGGUGACGAUGGCCGCCUGCAGGAGACGGGACAAGGGGGAGGUGAGAGGGAGCCUGCACUGAUCUGGACUAGUAAUUUCUCUGGGGCUCAAUGCAUCCACACUCCUGAGGAGGAAAAUGACUGGUGAUGGGUUCAUAUCCCACUUGCCCCUUCUCUCUGGAUCUAGACAAGGUCUCUUUUCUUUUCGUUGGCAAUUUAUGAGGUUUCUUUCAUUAUUAGUGACCAGUAGGCUUUGGCCCUUUCAGGUAGAUUGGAUAAGAAUUGAUGCAGGGACUGACUCCACACUCUCAGAUGUACCUUUAGCAGACUUGCUUAAUAGAUAAGUAUAUCAUAAAGAAUUGUUUUCCAAUUGCAAUUUCAAAUGGCAAACUUGCACUUCUACUUUUUUAAUGCUAACAUUAAAAAUUGUUAAAAUCUUAUAUAAAAUAUUUGCUUGCUAUUUAUUUCUUUUUAAUGCACAGCUAGUUCUUCAGGUACAUCAAGUAGCUGUCCAAAGUAUUUUCCUUUUCUUCCCUGAAACGCGCAUGCACACACACACACACACACACACACACAGACACUCACACUCACCUUUUUCUCCUACAUUCAUUCUUUGGGCUAAUUUACUAUCUGUAAUUGGGAGCCCAUGUUUAAAAAUAUCCAGUAUAUUGUUUGGUAGAUUUGAACUAAAAUGAUUUUCUUGUUUAUAUGAUUUCUUAAAAAUACAAAAGUAAUACACAUCACCAUGUUUCAUAUUAAUAACUCAGUGCUUCCUGAAGUGGUAAGUGUACUUCUGUAAACUCUUUAAACUUACCCCUUAAUGAGUUUCUUAUUCUAAUGGAUCUGAUUUUGGUAACACAUUAUGCAUCUUGAAUGACAUAUUUAAUACUUAUCCUUUAAGAAGUUAUUGGCAAGAUUGUAACUAUAAGUAUUAAAGGUCUUUCCUCACCUGUUAGAAAAAAAUAAAAGGAUGGGGGAAGAACUGUAUCAAUUAUCAUGAAAAGAGGAGCAGAUAAUGUCCUUUCGCAAGAAACACUCUUAAAAGAUAAUGAACAUGAAAAAUUAAUUAGAUUUCAAGUUGGAAGUAUCUUUCCCUACUUGAUGAAUUUGAUAGUGCUGCUAUUGCUACCUUAAUGCAUAAAAGGAAAAAUGUCAAAAUUAAUAAGAUAGUCAAGAAUAAAGGGAGCGGAAUGGUUAUCUUUGAGGGGGCUGAGUACUCACUAGAAAUAAUAGCUAAUUGGUAUAAAGCUAACUUCGGAAAAGAAUCAGGCAACAUUGUUUUAGACAUCUUUGACUGGCAUGGUUUCUAAAAACACUCUAGUUUGCAGAGAUUUAAAUGCAUUAUAAUGGAAAUUGGAUAUCUUUGGACUGAGAAAUUAGUAUUUGUGUCUGGCUUGUAACUUAUAAACAUGUUGUUGAAAGAUUUUUAUUUCUUGAGAGGAAAUGAGCCAGACAUUUAGGAUUCUCAUGCCUUUCACAUUCCAAUUUGUUCUUUCAUAAAAUUAAAUAUUUUUUUUGAGUUCAAAAAAGAUUUUUCCAGGGCAGAUGUGUGAAGAGAAUGAAAUGAGAGUUUUUAUUUUAACCUCCCACGUCUCUCUCCUCAGUGAUUAUUUGAAAACCAUUUACCUCUGUGGUGAUAAAUAAAAUCUGGAAACCUGUCAUCUUGUAGCUUAAUUAAAAAGUUUAAGAAAAAUAUUUGAUGCCUUAUUUGGAACAGCCUGGACCAAAUGGCUUCUUGAGGGCCCUUCCAGUUUGCAGAAGACCUUUUUCUAUAAAUACUUUGAUGUCAGGAUUAGAUCCAAAUGAUCAAAGGAAUUUUCCUGGCCUCAAUCACCCUAUACACUGAUACAGAGUUAUCAUCUCUUUUUAUGUGUCAAAAACACAAUGGAUGGCAUACUGGUGAUGUUUCCCAGGCGAUGUUAUGGACAAAGAAGUUUAGUUCAUCUGUGUGAAAAGGUUCUGUGUCAACAUUAGUCUUCAAAAUUUUAUGAAAAAGGGUUUAGAGAACACAGGUUUGUUUGGAUGAACUGAUAAAUUUAAAAGCAAAUAAAAUAUUUGGGUAAGUAGCAAGAAUAAUGAGAUUAGAGACCAAUUUUCUUCUGAAUUCAGAGGAAACAUUCUCUUGAAUAAUCUGAAACAUCAUAAGCCAGACUGUCAUUAACAAACAAAACAAAUCUCAAAGAAGAAUUCAAUUCAGGAGAUCCAUGAGACCAAUAAGUGCCUUCUUUGAGACUUCCAAGUCUUCUGGCUGGUGAGAUCUAUCCUCAAAUGUCAGUCAUGAUGGUGGAGGCCACAUUUGUUCUUAGAUUAUUGCCAUGAUCUUUGGAAUCUGUGACGUAUGUGCUGGGGAGGAGUUUUGCCUGGAUUUUGUUUAUAUUUUAGACUAGCUUGAGUCUAUUUUCUGAUUAUGGCUUAUUAUUAUUUUUUAAAUAAAAUAAUGCAGGCUUAUAUUAAUUUUAUGAAACGAAUAGGAAGCUCUGUAAAGAGCCUCGUAACAACACGGCUUAGAGAACAUCGCUUUUGUUCUCUCGUGCAACACAGCCAACGUGAGUGUUUCUGGUUGUUGAAUAGCUCUGCUCCACACACUUUCAGACAUUUCACACUUUCUGACACACCUUCCAUCUACAAUGCCUGCUUUCUAGGUUGGCUGUGGUCACCGGACAGAAAGGAGAAGGAAAGAAUUCAAAGAUCACGCCUGAUGGAAGCUGAACAUUACUUCUGUUCAUAUUUUAUUGGAGAGAACUUAGUCACAUAGUCACGCGGAGCUACAAGAGAGUUGGAAAACAUGGCUUAGCCGUGGUGCAAACAGGAAGCAAGAAAACACUUUGGUAGGCCGCUAGGAGCUCCUCACAUUGCUUGUCAAGAAACACAGUUGAGUCAAGAACAAAGGAGAAAGGAAGAAUCACCCUAAAUUCUACUACCUAAAAUAGUUUGGUGAAUAUCAUUCUGCACAUGCAACCAUUCUCUCUAUAAAAUACUACGUUUAAUUUUAUUUAAUUUAUUCAAAUUUUAGAAGAAAACACAUGCUGAGGUGAAACUUAAGAAAUUACCAGCAUUUGUUAACCCAGAAGAAAUUGUAAGUUUUAUGUCAUCCUGCUAUUGGCAUGAUUUAAAAAAAAAUUUUAUUUCAAAUUUAAAUAGUGUUUGAUAGGCAAUCUGUUAGGGGAGAUGAGGUGAUAAGGGCUCCUCUGUUUCUUUUCACUCCGCCUUCCCUCCCUCUGUCUCCCGGUUUUUGUUUCAAAUUAUUUCUCUUUGUCAGCACUGUGGCAUUACAUUUUGUUCUGCGGACAUAAUUCCCUCUGUUAAUCAUUAUGAGUUCUCUAUUUAAAUGGAAGCAAUGCUCAGCACUGGUUCUUUUACCAUGACUUUUCCAUUACUGAGUUUGCUUUUUAAUUUAUCACUUGGUUGGUUGGAUUUUAUUGUCAUGUAGUUUUAAAAUUUUUAUUUACUUUAUUUUUUAGCAAAGGGAUUAUAAAUUCCCGAUCCUCAGAGCUCUUUUAUAUUUGAGAAUGCCGCCUUUAUACUCGAACAGCUUGGCUGGGUGUACUAGCCUUGGUCACACGUGCUGCUCCGUAAAAUGUUACGGACAUUGUUCUGUUGACUGCUGGGAUUAAGUAUUGCCUCGAAAAAGCAUGAAGGCCAGCCUUAUUUUUCCCGCCGUGGAAAACUUCUCCUGUGGAAAAAGUUAUUAAUAUAGUGCAUAUAUAAAAUACCAUAGCUGUGACAGAAACUGUGUGCUCAGCAAAACUUCACGUAUCUCCUGAUCUCCUUCCCAGGACCAGUUUGCUUUCCUUCUCUCGGAAGAACUUUGAUACUGGAGCAUUGAUUUCUACACAUUUCUUGCAGUCUGAGGCCGUAGGCGUGGGGCUGGUGGAGAACUCUUGUAGGACUAAACCUGAAGAGCACACCUAUUCUGGAAUAAGGUUCUCCCUGACUUUGCUGAGUCCUCUGGUGGUAGCGGCUUCUGCUGAUGCCUACUUUCCAUAAGGAAGCUUCUCCCCACCCUGGGGGACACCAGCAGGACUGUUCCACAUGUUGCCCACUUACCUUUCUUCAGAAGUACGUGGAGGUAUGAAUGACAUUAAGAGUCCAUUAUCUAAUUUCUCAGGUAAGGCACCACAAACAAUGCUUUAAUGAUCAAGCGGUGCUCUGAAAUCUCACCAUGAAUUUUCAUCAUAACUGCAAGCAAAUGGCUCUGACCCAUAAUUUUGAAUUCUCUCUUUGGUUUGCAAACAAUUUCCUCCAGAGUGCAUUGCUUUCUACUUCACAGCGAUCUUGGAUAUAAACAUGGAUCUAAGAAAAAUGAAGCAAAACAAAAGACCCUCUUUGAAAUGUAUAUCUCGUGUAGCAUUGAAGACAGCUGCUUACCCUGUUUCAACCCUGCAGAUCCUGGAGGAAAUGGCAGAAUGGCCACCAUCGAAAAAUAACAAACACUGAAAAGUUUUGACAAGUUGACUAUAAUUACUGCAGCUGCUCGCUUCAUUUUUAAAAACUGCUGUUACGUAGCAAUUAGGAAAUACCUGUUUUAGGAGUUACAGCCUUUGUGUAGCUGCUCUUUCUUUUUGUCUCCUCCAUUCCAGGGAGAAGAGAUUGUGUCUAAUAAAUCCCAUCAUCAUCUCUGCCACUUGGAACUCAUGGUCAUGCCAUUAGUGUCAACAGAGGACCUGGACCAAAAUAAUCAUGACCCAUACCUUGCUCAUCCUCAAACUCCUUAACAUUGGCUGUUUCUCAGGAGGAGCUGGGAAGACCAGAAGUGCUGUGUCAAGCAAAACCAGUUUUCAGCACCUGUUUCAGAUGCAUAUUCAGGGCCUCUGACUAGGUGCGUCUAGAUGGCAGGCAUGUGACAUGUGGACCGUUGUCAUCGCAAGUGGGCUACUCGACAGUUUCUGUGUGCCCUUCUGCCAGCUUGGCCCAGGGCCAGCCUCAGAGUCCGGGAAGCUGCUGCCAGUCCCUCAGUAUCAGCACAUGAGCUGAAACUGAUAUGUCAUCCUUGAUAAGUGUAAGUGACCAGUUUUUAAAAUUAGAAUGGAUGAAACAUUAAAGCCCCCUUUCCUUCUUAAUUCUGAAAACAUUUCAGAAUCUUGGAUUGUCAGGUAUUCCUCAAUAUGACAACUUUUUUUAAAGUUUAUUUGUUUUUGAGAGAGAGAGAGAGAGAGAGAGAGAGACAGAGAGAGAGAGAGAGAGAAAAUGAAUAUGAGUAGGGGAGGGGCAGAGAGAAAA